rnacentral:tRNA from 1 species
CGGGGUGUAGCGCAGCCUGGUAGCGCACUUGCAUGGGGUGCAAGGGGUCGCAGGUUCAAAUCCUGUCUCCCCGA